rnacentral:misc_RNA from 1 species
CCGAAUUUACGUUCAAACCCACUGUGAACCAUACCUCUUGCCGCGUUGUCUCGGCGGGAGGCGUGAGGCCCUAGCGGCCCCGCGUCCCCGCCGGCAGCGCCAAACUCUAAACUGCAAAGCGUACUGCAUGCUCUGAUUUACAAAAAAAACAAGUUA